rnacentral:rRNA from 1 species
CCUACGGGAGGCAGCAGUGGGGAAUUUUCCGCAAUGGGCGAAAGCCUGACGGAGCAACGCCGCGUGAGGGAUGAAGGCCUCUGGGCUGUAAACCUCUUUUCUCAAGGAAGAAGAUCUGACGGUACUUGAGGAAUAAGCCACGGCUAAUUCCGUGCCAGCAGCCGCGGUAAUACGGGAGUGGCAAGCGUUAUCCGGAAUUAUUGGGCGUAAAGCGUCCGCAGGCGGCCCUUCAAGUCUGCUGUUAAAAAGUGGAGCUUAACUCCAUCAUGGCAGUGGAAACUGUUGGGCUUGAGUGUGGUAGGGGCAGAGGGAAUUCCCGGUGUAGCGGUGAAAUGCGUAGAUAUCGGGAAGAACACCAGUGGCGAAGGCGCUCUGCUGGGCCAUCACUGACGCUCAUGGACGAAAGCCAGGGGAGCGAAAGGGAUUAGAUACCCCUGUAGUCCUGGCCGUAAACGAUGAACACUAGGUGUCGGGGGAAUCGACCCCUCCGGUGUCGUAGCCAACGCGUUAAGUGUUCCGCCUGGGGAGUACGCACGCAAGUGUGAAACUCAAAGGAAUUGACGGA